rnacentral:lncRNA from 1 species
AUGAUUGAAUUAAUUGAUUCUUUGAAAGGAAUUUCUGACUGUAUUUCUGAUGACAUUUGUCAGCCUGGAUGUAUGUGGAUGGGGGGGCGUUGUGUAGCUGUGACAUCACCCCAUGUUUCUCUUCCCACCGAUACAGGCCGUCAUGCUGCACAGGCCAGGCCCACUGCAACCCGACCCAUGAGACCCAUGCUUUUCCCAGGCUACCUCCCUGCCCCUGGAGUUACAGGUUUGGAAUAUUCUGCAUGGACAGGUUUGUCCUCUCGUCAGGACACGUCAAAACUUGCAGAGACCCUGGCAGGCACGGCUCCCAACUCUUCAUUGGACAAAAGAACAACCUAAGACUCAGAGCUGAGAAGUGA